AUCGGCGAUUGGGACGAAGUCGUAACAAGGUAGCCGUACCGGAAGGUGCGGCUGGAUCACCUCCUUUCUAAGGAG
rnacentral:rRNA from 1 species